UCAGUGACAACACACACACACACACACACACACACACACACAAGCCUUUUCAUAUGGAAUUUCUUUUCCAUAUACAGCUGCAAGGCAGGUAGUUAAACAUACACACUGUUCAAAUAGAAAUUUGAGAUAAGCUCUCCAGCUUGUCUAAUUCAGAUAAAAAUAAAACCGAUCUCUUGAAGAUUUAGAUCCUGCAGCAAAUCUCCUCAAACUUCUACAUGCUUUGCAUUACUCUUCAGUGCAAAAGAAAAAUUCAAAUCCACUGUAUUUAUAUCCUGUUUGUACAGUGCUGCUUGUUUUCAGAAACACCUGGUCCUAUGCUUAGAUAAUAGACAUUGCAUUCAUUCAUUUCAUGAAAAAUACACCUGUAUCCGAGAAAGGCAAAAGGGACAUUCCUGAGCCAACCCCACCCAUCAUCUCUCUCUCUCACCUCUGCUUGGAUACCCCCAGGGGUGGGGUUACAGAGACACUACUUCAAGCAAAAGGCAAUAUUCACUUGAACAGCGACCUCUACAUGACUUGGACUCUUCAGGUACGCUGCACUAAGCUUGAGGAACAGGAAUAACUCACAUUCUGCUCACGGGACAGUGAGAAAAUCUGCUCACAGGGCUGGAUAACACCUUUACCACCAUUCCUCUUUACUCUCUACAGACAUCAACACAUCAGCAGGUCUUCACAGAUAUCAAACCACUCAGGAACAUCAUCAAGCUCAGCACCAAUCAAUCAAUCUGACAGCUCUGUGGCUAACUAACAGAGAUCUUCACUUUGACUAGAAACUGCAGAAUUACAAAGUGCCUUCCUUCACGUGACUUUUCUUCUGAAAAAUCAUGAAUCUGUCGUUAGAUAACCCUUAUGGCGACGUCAGCAUUCCCCGAGCUAAGCUGCGCUCGUAUGAGGACUCCAGCACCAUCAUCAUCAACCCCAUGACACUGGAGAGCUCGUACAAUGGGAGCAACUCCCAAAACCCGUAUGGCAGUCUCAAAGCUCCAGGAGGAGACGCUCCGUCUGGUGUGCCCGUCUACGGACAGGUUAAAGACACCAACCUGAACGGCACCUACACCGUAAAGGAGGAUGAGGAGCAGGUGAGCCGCUGCUACGCUUGCUGCUGCCGCUGUCGCAGGAAGAAGUGAGAAUGAGAAGGAACUCAUGGACUUUGAUAGGAGUAAUAGAGCAUGAAUUGCCUUCUAAACUGGAGCUGCUAGUUGAAUUAUUGACAACCAAGAACGUGCGUCUUCCCAAGAGGCUUCUGAAAGAUGGAUGUUUGAUAAAGACUGUUAUUUAAAUAUGGUUUAGGGAAGCAAACAGAACAGUGUUAACACUAUAUGAGCUACAUGUAAAAGUGGUCUUCGCAUUGAACCUCUCCUUGUGCCUGAUGCCUUUACUCUGUACUGAAUACAUACGAUGGGAUGUCUACAGUAAUAUAUUUUCAUCCUCACUUCGUAAAGCCAUUCUGCCUCUGAUCAGUUUCAACAUGCUUGAUUACAAGUAGUAUUGGAAUUCAUAAAAGGCUUUUGCUCGGGGAUCCCUCAAGGCUCGACUCUCAGACCACUCUUCUUACCUCUGUCCUUUUUUGUAUACUGGUGGAGGAAUAAGCCCAGGUUUCAGGGGAACCAUACCAUGCUAGAGAGCACAAUUUUUCAUGCACUCUGUGUCUGAAAUCACUCAAUACUCGCUAUAUAGUGAGUUUGCCAUUUUAUAGUGCUGUCCAAAUGUAUAGUGAGAAUUAUUACACCCUAUAUAGUGGACUCCCACAAUGCACAGUGAAAAGUAGUGUACAACUGAUGGUAUAUAUUGCUUGGUUAGUGACCAUCAUACAUUGCAGUUACGCUGGAAAGGAAAAAAAAGUGUGUUGGGGUGAAUGGACGGAAGAAGAAACACGUUAUAAACAGACAUUCAAAUACAAUUAAAAUAGUAAGAGAAUAGAAAAUAAGCUAAAAUAGAAUAAGACGGAUAAAAUACAAGAGUGAGGAAUUUAAUCAAAUGCCUCAAAUUUGAUUUAAUAAAAGGCAGGGGUAAAGAAGAAAGUACUCAGCCUUGAUUUAAAAGAAGUGAAAGAUGCAGCAGACACAAAGUACUUUGUAUUAAUGAAUGAAUGUGGGAAAUAUACUCAGUAUAAUAUGCAUUUAUUGUUUUGAAAACCCACCAGCCGACUGAUCUGGCACGUUUUAAUUGUGCGACAGUAAUGAUGUAAAUAGCAGCACGGCGGAUUAGUGUCCGAAAGAGUUUUUUUCAUUUUACCAAUGAGUUCACUAUAUAGUCCCCUAUGUAGAAUUCCCUAGAUAGUGAGUAGGGAAAAGUGAAUGAGUGAGUGAUUUCAAACACAGCCCCAGUCCCACCUGCAUGCUAGGAUACAUACGGAUGGAGAUCCAGCAAGGCAUUUCCAGUUAGGGAUAGAGAUCAGGAAUACACAUGAUUCCAUACAUAUCAGGACCUAAAUUGGUGUACAGUAGGGUCUGAAACCAUUCACUUAAACCUGGAAAUAUUUCUUUGCUUCAAAUUUGUCAAAAUUCAAAAAAACAAGGAAAUGUUUGGAAUCUUGAAUAUUCAGGAUUCAGAACAAUUUUGAAGUCAUUACUUAAAUUUAAGCAUAAAUCCUUUGUACAAAAGGUCAGAUUUUGCUCGAGUCUUUUCCCUUCAGGCGACACUGCAACAAAUUUGAUCGAUCAUCACGAUUUACGCAGAAGUGUUAAACUCUAAAUUGGGAAAUUGAUAAGAUUCUACUUUUCACUCCAAGUCAUUGCAGAGAAUAUCAUCUGAAACGUAUUCAGUUAGAAAGUAAUGUAAAAAGAAAACAUUUGCACAGGUGCUCUCAGACUUGUGGACCAACUAUAUGCAUGUUAACAUGGCAUGAAACACCAUUAAGGUCUUGUGACAUGAAAGGAAGGAGAAGAAAGGCAAAAUCAAUUCCUAGGAAAAGUGACUUUUUUUUUCCAUUACUAUUGAAUCAACACUGCCAUGAUCAUUGGUAUUUGCGUUCCAACCACGUUUACAAUUUAGAUAAGUUGCUAUGGAAGUAGUUUUUAAUGCCAACACCUAGUUACAACUGCUAGUAAAUCAUGCACACACCUGCUUCCCACUUGUGUUCGUCUGCAGAAAAAGAAAAGCAACAUUAAAAUAAAACACGAGCUAAAAUAGAUAAAAUGAAGGAUGAAAGAUAUGUUUAUAAUCUUGGAGGAGUGUUCUUAUAUUGAAUUAUUAGCCUAUUACAUUAGUAGGCCAGCUAUGUUUGAAACGACCAUCCUAGAUUUCUAGAAAAAUGUUAGGUUUUUUUUUUUGUUCUGAUAAGUUAGAUAUAUAUAAAUUUGUGGAAUGUCUUGUACAUCUUUAGUGUAAAAUGCCAACAUGUUACAUUUGAAAGUGGAUCCACGUGUAUUAAAAGGUAUAACUGCUGCACCAAGA